rnacentral:rRNA from 1 species
GACAGAGGUGCCAAGCGUUAGGCGGAAUCACUGGGCUUAAAGCGUGUGUAGGCGGAUUGGUAAGUACCUUGUGAAAUCCCACAGCUCAACUGUGGAACUGCUGGGUAUACUGGUUGUCUUGAGCCAGCUAGGGGCGAGCGGAACAGACGGUGGAGCGGUGAAAUGCGUAGAUAUCGUCUGGAACGCCGAAGGUGAAAACAGCUCGCUGGGGCUGCGCUGACGCUGAGACACGAAAGCCAGGGGAGCGAACGGG